rnacentral:piRNA from 1 species
UAGGAUGAGUGACGUUAUUAGGAAAGAUGAGU